rnacentral:lncRNA from 1 species
UGCAUUCCUAAAAUCCCAAAACCCAGAAACCCUUCACACCCGUCCCCCCCCCCAACCUUUCUCCACCACCCACCCUCUCUUUCUCCUCUUGCUUUCUCCCCUCUCUUUUCUCUUUCUUUGGGCAACAUGCAUCCCCAAAAUCCCAAAACCCAUUACAAAUCUCAAAACCCAAAAUCUCAUUAACCUCCCAAAUCUGGAGAAGGCGGUCAUGUUCGACUUCGACCUCACCCUUCCUAUCCAGAUGGUGCAGGGAUUAAAGAGAGAUGAACUGUCUCUGAUUUGGGGCUAGGGAUUAGAGAGAGAGGAGUUUCUCUGAUUUGGGGCUAGGGAUUAGAGAGAGGAGUUUUUCUUAUUUGGGGGUGGGCUUGGGUAGGGAGAAGGGGGUGGGGAGAAUGGGUGUGUCUGAUUUAGGAAAGGGCUCCGGUGGGGAAGACGAACUUUUUUUUUUGUACAUAAAGAGGAGCUGCAGGUGAAGCCAUCAUCGACCUCCUUGGGAUCGAAGAGGGUGGGUGGUGGAGGAACGUUGGGGGGUGGGGGAUGGGUGGGAAGGGUUUCUGGGUUUUGGGAUGUGGGCUUGGGUGGGUAAGACGAACUGUUUUUUUUUUUUUUUGUACAUGAACAGGGACCAGCUCGAGGAGUUGCGAGUGAAGGCACCUCCUUGGGAUCGAAGAGGGUGGAUGGUGGAGGAAGGUUGAAGGGGUGGUCAGGGACGUGUGGGAAGGGUUUCUGGGUUUUGGGAUUUUAGGGAUGCAGUUUGCAGGGAGAGAGAAGAGAGAGAGAGAAAGAGAGAGAGAGAGAGAGAGAGAAAGUGUGGGUGGUGG